rnacentral:rRNA from 1 species
CAGCAGCCGCGGGAAUACGAAGGGGGCUAGCGUUGCUCGGAAUGACUGGGCGUAAAGGGCGCGUAGGCGGUUGGUACAGUCGGAUGUGAAAUUCCUGGGCUUAACCUGGGGGCUGCAUUCGAUACGUGCUGGCUUGAGUGUGGAAGAGGGUUGUGGAAUUCCCAGUGUAGAGGUGAAAUUCGUAGAUAUUCGGAAGAACACCAGUGGCGAAGGCGACUGACUGGACAAGUAUUGACGCUGAGGUGCGAAAGCGUGGGGAGCAAACAGGAUUAGAUACCCCGGUAGUCCCUGUCUCUUAUAC